GACGAACGCUGGCGGCGUGCUUAACACAUGCAAGUCGAACGAAGAGCGAUGGAAGCUUGCUUCUAUCAAUCUUAGUGGCGAACGGGUGAGUAACGCGUAAUCAACCUGCCCUUCAGAGGGGGACAACAGUUGGAAACGACUGCUAAUACCGCAUACGAUCUAAUCUCGGCAUCGAGGAUAGAUGAAAGGUGGCCUCUACAUGUAAGCUAUCACUGAAGGAGGGGAUUGCGUCUGAUUAGCUAGUUGGAGGGGUAACGGCCCACCAAGGCGAUGAUCAGUAGACGGUCUGAGAGGAUGAACGGCCACAUUGGGACUGAGACACGGCCCAGACUACUACGGGAGGCAGCAGUGGGGAAUAUUCCGCAAUGGACGAAAGUCUGACGGAGCAACGCCGCGGGAGUGAUGACGGCCUUCGGGUUGUAAAGCUCUGUUAAUCGGGACGAAAGGCCUUCUUGCGAAUAGUGAGAAGGAUUGACGGUACCGGAAUAGAAAGCCACGGCUAACUACGUG
rnacentral:rRNA from 1 species